rnacentral:snRNA from 2 species
AUACCUUUCUCGGCUUUUUGGCUAAGAUCAAGUGUAGUAUCUGUUCUUAUCAGUUUAAUAUCUGAUAUGUGAGUCAUCGGCUCACUUGAUAUUAAUCUUAUUUUUCAUGUGGAAAGGCCCUUCACAAUAGUUUGCUAUUGGGGCCUUUGAGCGUCGCCUUGGUGUUGCGCUACUGCUAGGGCUGUAAACGAACCGAAC